UUUGAAUUGUUGUGCAAAUGGCUUGCCAUACACUGUUUUCUCUUUCUGAUUACCUAUAAAGAUCAUUAUUACCUGUUAAGAGAGACCUUUAAAUUUUGAGGGCUCAGAGCAAAACAAGUCUAAGUGUGUAUAGAUGUAGAAGCAGAUAGGCUAGUUUCGCACUGAGCCAUCGUGAAAUUAAAAAUUUGUUCUGUUCCCUAGGAUGGUCUUUAGAGACAGGUUUGACUGUAAAGUUAAGCUAUAUAGUCAGCCAGGGGAGCAAUACAAUCUUGCUGUGUAAGACAAGUGGCUGCUUAAGACAAGUGGCUGUGUAGGACAAGUGGCUUCUAAAUACAAGUGACUGCUAAGGCAGGUGGCUGUGUAAGACAAGUGACUGCUAAGGCAGGUGGCUGUGUAAGACAAGUGACUGCUAAGGCAGGUUCAUCUGUAUGUCAUUUUAGGUCGUUAUAGCUAUUCUUAUCUUUAUAAUUUAUAUUUGAUAUUGCUUUAUCUUUUUCGUCUGAGCUGUUUUUAUAAGCUAUUAAAUAAUUUUAUUGCAAUAGAUAUAUAAUAAUGUUGCAAUGAUGUAUGAUUAUGUUGUUAGAUGAUUUAUGCUGUAACAUCUUGUUACAACAGAUGUGCUUUUAUGUUAUAUGUUUUUACAAUUGAAGCAUUUCCUAUACAUGUACAGUUUAUUCAUAUCUCAAGACUGUAAUUUAAGACUAUUUAUUAUUUUGCUUCUCGUGUAAUGCCUAUUUUGUAGUUAUUGUGGAAUUUGGAAAUUUUGGUGCAUAAAUAUGCUCUUUAAUUAGAAUUUCGUUUAAAGAAAAUCAAAAUAGUUUUGAAGAGGGAAUGUAUUCCUUUUUGUCAGAAGUGCUAAUCAUUAGUUAAUUGUUAUAUAGCUAAAUUGUUGAUUAAUCGUGUUGAAAUUGUUUUCUUGGGUCUCAUCUAGGUCACAUGAGCCCUGACAGCUUACGUGUUGUGACUGCUCUUCAUCUGUUAUACAUUUACAGACAAUAUCUAAAUUAUUAAUUUGACGCAGACUGUUGGCAAAUUCUGACUGCCGCAGCAACUUAAAAGAAGGAAUUCUAUUAGAAAACAGUGAUAUAUCUGUUUCACGGAAGUGAUCUGAGACAUGGUAACACAGCUCCAAAAUUGAGCUGUAAAAAUUUGGAAGCUUGGUGUGGAGCUUUUAUGAUCGCCCUGUGUCCGUCGUCUGUCGUCAACAAUUUGACUGUUAACACUCUAGAGGUCACAAUUUUGGCCCAAUCUUAAUGAAACUUGGUCAGAAUGUUACCCUCAAUAAAAUCUUGGACAAGUUGGAUAUUGGGUCAUCUGGGGUCAAAAACUAGGUCACCAGGUCAAAUCAAAGGAAAAGCUUGUUAACACACUCUAGAGGUCACAGUUUUGGCCCAAUCUUAAUGAAACUUGGUCAGAAUGUUACACUCAAUAAAAUCUUGGACAAGUUCGAUAUUGGGUCAUCUGGGUUCAAAAAUUAGGUCACCAGGUCAAAUCAAAGGAAAACCUUGUUAACACUAGAGGUCACAGUUUUAGCCUAAUCUAAAUGAAACUUGGUCAGAAUGAUACCCUCAAUAAAAUCUUGGACAAGUUCGAUAUUGGGUCAUCUAGGGUCAAAAACUAGGUCACCAAGUCGAAUCAAAGGAAAAGAUUGUGAACACUCUAGAGGCCACAUUUAUGACUUUAUUUUCAUGAAACUUAGUCAGACAGUUAAUCUUGAUGAUCUUAAGGUCAAGUUGGAAUCUGGGUCAUGUGGGGUCAAAAACUAGGUCACCAGGUCAAAUCAGAGGAAAAAUUAGUUAGCAUUCUAGAGACCACAUUUAUGACCAUAUCAUAAUGAAACUUGGUCAGAAUGUUAAUCUUUAGGUCAACUUUAAAUCUGGGUCAGAUGGGGCCAAAAACUAGGUCACCAGGUCAAACCAAAGGAAAAGCUAGUUAACACUGUAUAAGCCACAUUUCUGACCGUAUCUUAAUGAAACUUGGUCAGAAUGUUAAUGUUGAUGAUCUUUAGGUCAAGUUUAAAUCUUGGUCAGAUGGGGUCAAAAACUAGGUUUCCAGGUCAAAUCAAAGGAAAAGCUAGUUAAGACUCUAGAGGCCACAUUUAUGACCAUAUCUCUUUAUGAAACUUGGUCAGAAUGUUAAUUUUGAUGAUCUUUAGGUCAGUAGGUCAGGUGAGCCAUACAGGGUCUUCUUGGCCCUCUUGUUCUUGUUUAGCCCUUACCUUGCUAAAUUUCUGUAAUAAACUUGUCCAUCUUUCAAUUUGGACAGUACCAUUAACUGUAAAAGGGGUGUAGUCUGAUUAUGGUCUGCACUGUUCACUAUUCAGUCAGUAAAUUUUCAGAGAACACCCCUUUGAAUAAUAAAUGGUAUUGCCAAAAUGGAAUGAUGGACCAGUCCAUUAUAGAAAUUUAGCCAGGGUAAAGGUUAAACAAUGCCAUAUAAAUAACACCCUGCAACAAAAUACUCAGGUGAGUGAUAUAUGAUGUUGAGCUAAUACCGGCCCAAGGUAGCCAUGUUAACUUUGCUAGAUGGGACCAGUAUGGCCCUUGUGAUCUUCUUGGUGCAUCUUUUGAUAUUAUUAGCUCAUCCUGAUGCAAUAUAUAUUGGUCUUUUAAUUAACGUGUGUAAGUGGGGUGGGAUUGGAGGAGACAUUUUAAAUUGUUAUUGCUCAUUUUUAACCCAUGAUCCUAAUCAAUGGGUAUUGCUAUUGUGUUUUGUGAAGAUUACAAAUAAUCGUAAUUUUUGUCCAGCCUGCUUGCAGAAGUGAUGACAUAGUAGUCCAAAUGGCUGUUCGGUGUACGUGCAUCCGUGCGUCCAUCUGUGCAUGCGGACAUUUGUCUGGACCAUAAUUUUGACAUGCAUGGAGCAAUCUUGUUUAGAUUUGGCAUUAAUGUUAACCUCAGUGAGACAGAGUGUCAUGCGCAUACCCCAGGUUCCUAUCUCAAAGGUCAAUGCCACAGUUGGAGGUCAAAGGUCAUGUCAGAUCUUGUCCGGCCCAUAAGGAAUCUUGUUUAUAUUUGGCAUGAAUGUUUAAAUUAAUGAGAUGGAGUGUCAUUUAGGGGUAGAAGGUCAUAACUUUGUUAAGUAUGGAGCAAUCACUUUUUUCUUUGGCAUAAAUGUUCACGUCUAUGAGACGGAGUGUCCUGCGCAAACCUCAGGUCCCUAUCUGAAAGGUCAAGGUCACACUUGGGGGUCAAAGAUCAUUUUAGAGCUUGUCCGGGCUGUAACUUUGCCAUGCAUAAAGCAGUCUUAUUUUUAUUUGGCAUAAAUGUUUGCCUCAAUGAGACAAUGUAUGGCAUGCAACUCCAGGACCCCUGCGGGCUCGACAUGUUGUCCAUGGGCAUCUAGUUUAGAAUUAGGUCCAAUGCAGUUUUUGCUUUAGAUAAAUAUAUUAACAUAAAAAAAUCAUAACGAAAAGAUUAUUUGUUGUUUCAGAGGAGCAUUUAAAAGUAUAGGUACUGUAUUUGAAAAUAUUUAAUUGGUUUCUAUCACAAACAUAUUCUUAGGGAAUAUCAUGUGCAGACGUAAUCUUCUUUUUAAGUUGAUGAUUUGAUUGAAAUUAAUUUCUGAAACAGGAGAGGAGAAAUAAACAAAAUGGCUUUAGUUUUUUCAUCCAGUCUGGAAGGUAUAGCUAUCAUUUUGAAGAUUUAUUUCCAUACUGUGAAAUCAUUCUUAUUUCACUAGCAUAAAAUGUAAGUGAUUUUUGAAAGAAAAAAAAUACAGUAAAAGUCAUGGAUUUCAAAAUGUAAAGAUGAAACAAAUGUUGGUUCAUAUGUAACAUGUACAAGGAUUUAAUUUAGUUGUUGGACUCAAACAAGAAAUUUUAUAGAAAUAAGCCCACCAUGAAUAAUUGAUAGUCUCACAGUAGUCCCUGUGUAAUGACCUGAUAAUGUGACAAAAGAUGAUUUUUCUUUUCUGCAGAGUGGGCGGGUAAAUUCUCAGUGUAAUCUACCUCUAUGAAAAUGUCACUAAAGCCAUUAUUUCAGCUAUUAUCAUCAUAAUUAUGUAUAUUUUGAUAAACUUUGUACACACGCAAAAAAAAAUCCUUUUGACUCUCGUGUCUGGAGGGUGUCUGUUGUAUUCGCAAUAGGGGUAAAAUGGCCUUAGGGGGAAGGGUGCAGUCAUGACUUUUUGUUUAAAUAAGGCUGUUAUGAUUGUUGUUAUUAUUAUUAUUAUUGUCGUUUAUAUUACUGUUAUUAUUAUUAUGUACAACGCCAUUGAAUUUGUCAUUGUAUAGAAAUAGGCAUUUAAUCAAAUUAUUCAGUUUCAGUUUCAGUUUCCAAUUGUAAAAAAAAAAAAAAUCAAAAUUCCAUCAUUGGAUAUAAACUACUAGUAAUAAAUCCUUUUUUCUAAUGAAUGAAGUUUAUCAACAUGUGUAUAGUAACCCUAGCACUACCAGCAUCAUGUUGAUAUGCAUUUCAAAGGCUCAGCAUGAAACUGUUGUAACUGAAUAUUGGUAAAGAACAAGAUACAAUAGUUUUGCACUGAGCCAACGAUUUAUGCCAUUAACUAAUGAUAAAAUUAUGUUAGGGAUAGGUGUGUACAGUAAUUUUUCAUGAUAGAUUUCUUAAUCUUUUAAUCCAAAUUGCAUAGAGCUCUUAAACAAAAGGCCUAUAUAUAUAUACAAAAAUCCCAUUUCAUGAAACCCAAACGUGAUUUUACAAGUGCUAAAUGUUUUUUCAUGCUUUCAAAAUAAAACUGCAGAUACUUGCAGAUAUAGAUGUGCUAAUAGUUUUGUUUAAGUUAAAAUUCUAUUUACCAACUUUAAUGUGUGAAAGAAAUUCUGAUCAAAACUGUGAAAAUGAUGACAUCAAAUUUCUGUCCUGAAAAUUGGGUAGUCGUUUUAAGAGUAGAUGCAGAAAAAAUGUCGAACAGCAUGCAUCCUGACCAGACUGCGUGGAUGCAUCUGGAUCCAAGCUGGUAGCAAAUGCACUAUGUUGGUUUUCUCAUGGUGUGGCUCAUUUGAUAUCCAUAAUAAAGUUCAUAAAAACAUAACGUCAGUCCCCACACUUAAAGUAUAUAUCUGAGAAAACUGAAGUUUACGUUCCCAAGUAGUUAAGGUUGCUUAUUUUCAAUCACUUGCCCUGUAAUGCUGUGGGUUCGAAACCUUGCUUAGGGCAUAGAAUUCUUCCAUGUUAGGAAGCUAUCCAGGGGGCUUAUGAAAGGUCAGUGGCUUUACCCAAGUGCCUCACCUGGGAUAAAAUAGUGCAUGGGUGGGGAUGGGGGUCUCAGGUGUCUUUUUAAACCAUCAAAAGCUGGAAAGUCACCAUAAUGGUGAUGUUAAAUUGUGUCAUUUUGACAUUAAACCCAGCAAAAAAAAAAAAAAAA